AGGGUUUGAUCAUGGCUCAGAACGUACGCUGGCGGCACGCCUAACACAUGCAAGUCGAGCGGGGUAGCAAUACCUAGCGGCAGACGGGUGCGUAACAUGUGGGAAUCUGCCUUUUGGUUCGGAACAACACGGGGAAACCUGUGCUAAUACCGGAUAAGUCCUUACGGAGAAAGUUUUAAUGCCAAAAGAUGAGCCCGCAUUUGAUUAGCUAGUUGGUGAGGUAAAAGCUCACCAAGGCGAUAAUCAAUAGCUGAUUUGAGAGGAUGAUCAGCCACACUGGGACUGAGAUACGGCCCAGACUCCUACGGGAGGCAGCAGUGGGGAAUCUUGCACAAUGGGCGAAAGCCUGAUGCAGCGAUGCCGCGUGAGUGAAGAAGGCCUUUGGGUUGUAAAGCUCUUUUGUCGGGAAAGAUAAUGACUGUACCCGAAGAAUAAGGUCCGGCUAACUUCGUGCCAGCAGCCGCGGUAAUACGAAGGGACCUAGCGUAGUUCGGAAUUACUGGGCGUAAAGAGUAUGUAGGCGGCUAGAUAAGUUAAUUGUGAAAGCCCAAAGCUUAACUUUGGAAUUGCAAUUAAAACUAUUUAGCUGGAGUAUGAUAGAGGAAAGCGGAAUACAUAGUGUAGAGGUGAAAUUCGUAGAUAUUAUGUAGAACACCAGUUGCGAAGGCGGCUUUCUGGAUCAUUACUGACGCUGAGAUACGAAAGUAUGGGUAGCGAAGAGGAUUAGAUACCCUCGUAGUCCAUACUGUAAACGAUGAUUAUUAGAUGUGGGGAAUUAUUUCUCUGUAUCACAGCUAACGCGUUAAAUAAUCCGCCUGGGGAGUACGACCGCAAGGUUAAAACUCAAAUGAAUUGACGGGGACCCGCACAAGUAGUGGAGCAUGUGGUUUAAUUCGAAGAUACGCGCAGAACCUUACCAACACUUGACAUGUUCGUCGCGACUCUAAGAGAUUAGAGUCUUCGGUUCGGCCGGACGAAACACAGGUGCUGCAUGGCUGUCGUCAGCUCGUGUCGUGAGAUGUUGGGUUAAGUCCCGCAACGAGCGCAACCCUCACUUUUAGUUGCCAUCAUUAAGUUGGGCACUCUGAA
rnacentral:rRNA from 1 species